ACUCCUACGGGAGGCAGCAGUGGGGAAUAUUGCACAAUGGGCGCAAGCCUGAUGCAGCCAUGCCGCGUGUGUGAAGAAGGCCUUCGGGUUGUAAAGCACUUUCAGUUGUGAGGAAGGUGGUGUCGUUAAUAGCGGCAUCAUUUGACGUUAGCAACAGAAGAAGCACCGGCUAACUCCGUGCCAGCAGCCGCGGUAAUACGGAGGGUGCGAGCGUUAAUCGGAAUUACUGGGCGUAAAGCGCAUGCAGGUGGUUUGUUAAGUCAGAUGUGAAAGCCCGGGGCUCAACCUCGGAACUGCAUUUGAAACUGGCAGACUAGAGUACUGUAGAGGGGGGUAGAAUUUCAGGUGUAGCGGUGAAAUGCGUAGAGAUCUGAAGGAAUACCGGUGGCGAAGGCGGCCCCCUGGACAGAUACUGACACUCAGAUGCGAAAG
rnacentral:rRNA from 1 species